rnacentral:lncRNA from 1 species
CACUUAGCAGCUGUGGGAUCUUGGCAAAACCUGUCUUACCUGGGUUAAAAGUGGGCAGUUUUUAAAAGUAGGAUAUUUUCUUAGAAAGGGUUUAGGAAAUCUUCAUGUAACUCACUAUAAAUUUUAACAGUAUCUCUGAGAGCCUUCCACAGAAGUGUGUGGAUAGUUUAUCUGGAGCUGCUGGUCAAAGAGGAAAAAAAGACAUUAAAUGGACAAGUAGAAGGAUGGUGUCACGUCAGCCAAAACCAGAGAACUGGAAAGAAGGAGAGAGCAGGGGCCAUGAUGGGGAGAUCAAGGAAUCUACAGCCUGAUACAGUGUCCACUGGAAAGUUUCCAACUUCUGAUGCAGUUUCCAUUUGGAUGGAAGUGUCUCCAAAGUGAAGGUAGAGUGAAGAAUGUGUUAGCUUGUUGAAAAUUAGGGAUGCAA